rnacentral:rRNA from 1 species
GACAAACGCUGGCGGCGUGCUUAACACAUGCAAGUCGAACGGAAAGGCCCUGCUUUUGUGGGGUGCUCGAGUGGCGAACGGGUGAGUAACACGUGAGUAACCUGCCCUUGACUUUGGGAUAACUUCAGGAAACUGGGGCUAAUACCGGAUAGGAGCUCCUGCUGCAUGGUGGGGGUUGGAAAGUUUCGGCGGUUGGGGAUGGACUGGCGGCUUAUCAGCUUGUUGGUGGGGUAGUGGCUUACCAAGGCUUUGACGGGUAGCCGGCCUGAGAGGGUGACCGGCCACAUUGGGACUGAGAUACGGCCCAGACUCCUACGGGAGGCAGCAGUGGGGAAUAUUGCACAAUGGGCGGAAGCCUGAUGCAGCAACGCCGCGUGCGGGAUGACGGCCUUCGGGUUGUAAACCGCUUUCGCCUGUGACGAAGCGUGAGUGACGGUAAUGGGUAAAGAAGCACCGGCUAACUACGUG